UGCUCAGCAGUUAAUGGAAAAUUGGCUUCUCUUCCUUCAUAUUCUUCCGCUCGUGGUGGUGCAUCAGGAAUGCAUUUCUGAUGUUGAUUUGCAAUAACUUAUUUCACAAUUCACCUAAAUUAAUUUCUUUAAAUUAGUAUCAAAGGUUGAAGAUCAAAUAUUAGUUGACGGCCUUGUCGAAAUAUUUCGUAUUACAUUAUAUUAAAGUUUAAAAAUUGCUCUGUAUUCUAGGUAGGCCUUGGUCUAGUAUCAUAUUGUAUCAAAUAUGGUAUCCAGGCUCUCUCGGGGAACAUCUUUUUCAACCUCUUUCUCUUUAAUCUUUGCGCUAUACCAUCAAAGGGAAUAGCUCUUUGGCUUCAAAACAGGUUUGGUCGUAGAAUCACAGCUAUUAUAUGUUACACGAUUAUUGGUAUCAGUGGCUUUAUUGUCGGCGUCGUACAAACUGUUGAGGCUCCAAACCGCGAUGCUCUCACAAACGGGUUUGCCCUGUUAGCCCAUAUUGGUAUUGCUAUGGCAUGGGGACCGGUACAGACGAUGACUAUUGAACUAUAUCCAACUGUCGUCAGAAAUAUUGGAUUUGGAACAUUAAGUGUAAUGGGAAGAUUUGACGCCAUGAUUGGUCCUCAGUUAGUCUACUUGGAUUCGUAUGUUCCUGGUUUGUUGUACUAUGUGUGCGGGGCAGUGUCUGUGGUAUGUGUCACUGGAACAUCUGCACUUCCGGAGGCAAUGGACACCGACCUCAAUGAUACAAUUGGACAAAUGAAAGAGAAAAGUGUCAAGAAUAAUCAAAUUAGAAAUGGUGUCGUCUGAGGAAGUAUUGACUUCAAUCAUACAAUAAUAAGUUUGUAUGCCAGUGUGUAUUCAGAAAAAACUGCGCUAAAAUUGGACAAUGUGUCACAUGAUAAUCUAAACUCACUUGCAUAGGUGGAUAUAAUUUUUGUUGCAGAAUGGUUCACAUCUCAUUGUAUAUACCUAGGUGUUCCAGUUCACACGUUUCCUGACAGCUUUUAUUUACUGGACACUUCAGUAUAAUAAUUAACACUGUGGAUUAUUUCUCUUUAACAAUAGCUAAAUGGUUCAUUUAGUACUGGACCUGUCGCAUCUAUGACCUACACCACUGUGAUUCAUUUUAAGCUGAAGGACCCACUGAUACCAGACCAGAAGCCACUGAUACCAGACCAGAAGAAAAAUACUAUUGUACAUGUCAUACUGUACACCUAGGUAUACUGUGAGAACCAAGAUACCCAACGGGAAAGUAUACUAACCCAUAUCAGUAAAAUUUAAUGGGUACCAUGAAUAUUGAAAAUUGGUAAUUUCCCUUUCAUUAUACACCAGUUGCAUUUUCUCUGAUUCUUAUCGCAGAGACAUUCUGUGUAUUUUAUGUUUUCGUCUACAUUAUACAAAAUGUUAACAUUAUCUUCCAAAGUUUCGCAAAUUGUUCAAGUUAGAAACUUCCUCAUCAAUUUGAAGUUUUUCUUGCUUACAGCAAUUGGGACAGUGUUCUGAUAUAUUUGUUCUGAUAUACAGCUUUUCUAAAGCCUUAGAAUCGUUACUUUACAAGGUCAAAAUGCAUGCAGUCAUUUUAAACUUUCAUCGCAAAAUAAUGACAAAAACAACAACACAUAUCAUUUCAAAUUUUAUAAUAAUGUGACACUAAUCAGAAAGUAACCCAACAAGACAAACAGUUUUCUGAAUAAACAAAAUCUAAAAAAUCAUCUAAAAAAAUCUACAGAGAAUAAUCCACAUCGGUAACUUCUUCCGAUUAAAGAUUCACACACAUUUCUAAACGUCGUCUGCAGAGUAUA
rnacentral:lncRNA from 1 species